GGGCAGGUUCCCGAGUGGUCAAAGGGGGCAGACUGUAAAUCUGUUGGUUCCGCCUUCGAAGGUUCGAAUCCUUCUCUGCCCA
rnacentral:tRNA from 2 species